UUAAGUUCAGCGGGUAGUCUUGCCUGAUUUGAGGCCAAAUAGAUAGAUAGAUUGUGGCAAGUGGAGCCUAGGCCCAAGAAUGCUUAGCACUCGGGCUAGUCUCACAGACCAUUCUCUGGCUACAUUUAGACCCAGUCCACCCACCAGCUAGUAGUAGUAGUGCGCAGACACGGAUCAAGUCGCAUUGCUGCAUAGAGUAU
rnacentral:misc_RNA from 1 species